rnacentral:tRNA from 1 species
AAUAAGAUGCCUGAUUAAAAGGUUCAUUUUGAUAGAAUGAAUUAUGUACUAACAUGUACUCUUAUUG